UCUGUCUCUCUCUCUCUCUCUUACACAGGUCAAUAUUGGCUAUGCAGAUUAUCCAGUACGAGGCCUUUCAAGAUAUCAACUUUGGGCAAUUUUAAAACCAUAUUGCAAUUGCUGUUCGGUUUGAGUAAUGCGCUAUUCUAAUCUUGGCACGAUUCAAUAGAGUGACACACCAAACUACUGAACGUGCCUUAGGAUGACUUUUCACCAUACAUGAUGUCAGCUGCAUGCGAUGCGUCAUUUUGCUGAGUGACGUAGGACUGCGUCACCGACUUGUGCGUCUUGGUCUCGCCAUCUUAGAAUGAUGUCUUCCCGGAAUUGAAUGAAAACGAAUCAGAAAUGAAAAUCGCUUUGUAUUACUAGUAUAUUGGGGUACUUGCCUUUACAGGCUUGAUUACCACGUAUAAUGACGCAAUCAAAAUGACGCCUCUUGAGGAAGGGGCAUUAGUUUCCGACGAACGCCAAUCUUCACAUAUCUGUGAGAUCAUCGAAUAAGAUAUAAUCUUUAGCUUCAUACGUUGAAUUGCUGAACUUCUCUUCAUCUUGUUUGCUCUUCGUCGAAGUACGAUUAAUAAACUUAUAUGUCAGAUUAAAAGUGUAUUGACACAUUUCCUGUUUUUUAUAAUUCCUAGCGUAAACCCCCUUUUCACAUGACUUUAAUAACGGAGAAA